rnacentral:tRNA from 1 species
UGUAGUUCAGUGGUAGAGUGCUUACCUGGCAUGCAUGUGGCCCUGGGUUUCAUUCCCAGCA